rnacentral:snoRNA from 1 species
AGCAAAGUAGCUACAUGGAGACACGGGUUAUGCUUCCAUCAUAGUAAUUUUAUUGCAAUGGUGAUGAUGAGACCUGAGACAUUU